rnacentral:rRNA from 1 species
CCCUUAGAUGUUCUGGGCCGCACGCGUGCUACACUGAGUGGAUCAGCGGGUCAGGUUGCGCGAAAGUGUUUCCUAAUCUUGAAAUCCGCUCGUGAUGGGGAUUGACGGUUGCAAUUUUCCGUCAUGAACGAGGAAUACCUUGUAAGCGCGGGUCAUCAUCCCGCGCUGAAUACGUCCCUGCCCUUUGUACACACCGCCCGUCGCUCCUACCGAUUGGAUGGCCCGGCGAAGUGGUCGGACCGGCGGCCCAGGCACGGUCGUGCCACGGGCCCCGGGAAGUCCACUGAGCCUUGCCAUCUAGAGGAAGGAGAAGUCGUAACA